CUGGACGAAGUACCAAACGCUGUGAGAAGAGCUGAGAUGAUACCUUUAAAAUGUUUUAGUGGGUUUGCACGUACAAGGACAACGUACAAAACUGGAUAGAAGACAGCUGCUUGAACACAAUGGCCAACAAUAUUGGUUAACACAAAAAGACCCAUAGCUCUGAAAAGCAAAGUGAUAUCACUUGCUUCCACGAUAUUUCCUGCAAUUAUACUGCAAAUUCCAAUUGGG